rnacentral:rRNA from 1 species
CAGUCGCCGCGGGAACACGGAGGGUGCGAGCGUUAAUCGGAAUUACUGGGCGUAAAGCGUGCGCAGGCGGUUAUAUAAGACAGAUGUGAAAUCUCCGGGCUCAACCUGGGACCCGCAUUUGUGACUGUAUAGCUAGAGUACGGUAGAGGGGGAUGGAAUUCCGCGUGUAGCAGUGAAAUGCGUAGAUAUGCGGAGUAACACCGAUGGCGAAGGCAAUCCCCUGGACCUGUACUGACGCUCAUGCACGAAAGCGUGGGGAGCAAACAGGAUUAGAUACCCGCGUAGUCCCUGUCUCUUAUAC